rnacentral:rRNA from 1 species
AGGGUGUAAACGCUGCAGACUUGGUGUUGGGAACCCUUCGGGGGUGCUCAGUGCCGGAGAGAAGUUGUUAAGUCUGCUACUUGGGGAGUACGUCCGCAAGGAUGAAACUUAAAGGAAUUGGCGGGGGAGCACCGCAACGGGAGGAGCGUGCGGUUUAAUUGGAUUCGACGCCGAAAAAACUCACCAGCAGCGACUGUUACAUGAAAGUCAGGUUGAUGACCUUACUAGAUUUUCAGAGAGGUGGUGCAUGGCGUCAGUGACU